CAGAGUCAAAAUCAGUCUAUAGAAAUCAAAAGUUCAUGCUUUUCACUAUUGUUACAUUGUUUCCAGUAUUAGCUGAUUCGUUUGUCCAUUAAUUGGAUAUUAGCAUUUAAAUAAAAAGUUGAUAAGGAAAAAAUAAAAAUAAAACAUUUUCCUUUGUCUGUAAAAUUUUCUUCUGGGGGUGCUGGGGAGUAAAUUAGCUACAAAAUCAAUUACAAGGAGAAUGAUUAAAUAUAAAGAGUUAAAAACAGGAAUAUAAUUUCCAAGUGCUCUUUUCCAAAUAUUAUCGCUACAAGGUUUGAACAGGAGAAAGCCAGUAGAGAUAAGAAAAAUCAAAACUGAAUAAACUUGAUGUUAAAUCAGCUUCUAUUUCUUCUUGUCUUUCCUCCCAUUUUCUCCAGUUGCCAUGCUACUUCUGAGGAUCUAGGAUAAUACUGAAAGAAGCACAUAUGGGGCACAAGAUUUCUAGCACUUUAAAGCUUAAUGCUUUAAAAGUAUGUUUUGAGGCUUCUUUAAAAGUUUAUGGAUCUUGCCCAGAGCUGGAGUCGGAGCCCCCGAGGCUGCCGCCGAAAGUGCCCGCGAGCCCGCGGCCCAGCCGAAGCUCUUUCCCGCCGCCUCUCCGCGCCUCGUCCCUGUCCAGACCCACCCGACCCCCAACCCAGCCUGGUCCCCUGACUCUCAGUCCGGCCCGGUCUGGCCUCCCAGCGGGGUCACGCAACCGCCCCGGGGACGAUGAAAGGGGGAUAAAUGGUGCCCAAGGUGGACAGCGGUGCCUUCCUGCUGCUCUUCCUGCUCGUGCUGUCACUGAGCCGUUGCGGCCAGUGGGGACCCUCUGCUGAGACAGGCUCUGUGUCCAGCACCUGCUCCGGGUCACGCUCUGGGGGAGUAGGAGUCGCACGACUGUCUCAGCCUUGGAUUUGACUUUGGCCUCAUCCACCUAGGGGCCACGGGAGAACCAUGUGGGUUACCAAGUUCAAGGGGAGAGAGAAGAAACUGAUGAAAAUAGAAGCUCAUCUGGGACUGCCUUCCUUCUCUGGCUCCACCCUUGACUUCUUCAGAGCUUGGGCUUUAAGCCGUGAGCUCCAUCUCAUUCCCUGGGCCGCAAGAAGCUCACUGGGCCCGCGUCUCUGGAGGCUGUUGAGCGGGCCCUUCCUCUGUCUCCAUAGUCGACGGCUCGCUGGAGAAACCCAGGAUCUCCGGCUGCCUGGACAUUUGCAUUGCUGUCCCCUCGGGUUUUGUCUCAGGCUGUGCCUGGGGCUGUGCCUCUCCCUCAGGCUCCAGCUUGGUGGCAGACUUCUUGUCAGAGCUAAGUUCGGGGGUCCACAAGGGUUCAGUUCCCCGGGAACUCUCCCCCUCCUUGUUGGUGGCCACAGAGGGAGAUCCCCGUGCCUUGGGCUGCAUCCAGCAGUGGCUGAGGAUCUCGUCGAUGUGGAGCCGCCGGUUGACGUCGGGCUGCAGCAUGCGGUAGAUGAGGUCUUUGCACUCGCCUGUCAGGUGCUUGGAGCGUGGGAAGUUGACGCGGUGCUCCUUCUGGAUACGCAGCAUCUUCCUGAUGUUGGAGUCAUCGUAGGGCAUGGAGCCGCAGACCAUGAUGUAGAGGAUCACGCCUAGGCUCCAGAUGUCGUACACCUUGGGCUGGUAGGGAAUGCCCUGCAGCACCUCUGGGGCCGCAUACGCUGGUGACCCACAGAAGGUCUUGCUUAAUGCCAUUCGACCACUGUCAUCCCGCAGGCAGCGCUUGGAGAAGCUGAAGUCGGACAGCUUGAUGUUGAAGUCCUUGUCAAGGAGAAGGUUGUCACACUUGAGGUCCCGGUGGACGACGUCCAGGUCGUGGCAGUACUUGAUGGCCAAGGAAAGCUGGUGGAACUUCUUGCGAGCUUCGUCCUCAUGCAGGGCUCCCCGGGUUUUGAUUAACUCGAGGAGGUCGCCCUGGACCGCGAGCUCCAUGACGAUGUAGACCUUGCCAUGUGAUGUCUCAAAGAUCUCGUAGGUCUUAAUGAUGGAGCAGUGGUUUAACAUGGCCAGAAUCUCAAUUUCCCGGGGAAGGAAUUUCUCCAAGAAGUCUGCGGGGGCCUUCUUGCGGUCAAUGAUCUUGAUUGCCACAUUGAACUUCAGGCGCUCAGAGUAAGCAGAUUUUACUUUUGCAUAGGAGCCCUCUCCUAAAUUUAUCCCCAGGAGGUAGCCUCGUCGCUUGAGGACAGCAGCGUCAUCCAUGGUGCCAGGAGUGCCCAGUGCCUCUGAGGCUGCCCUCUACAGCCCCGAGGCGCAUGGGCCAGCAGUGUGCUCAUUUACAUCCUGGAUAGAGAGUCCUUUGGGCUGGCCAGGCCUGCUGUUCCUGCCUCCUAGAGGCCAAGACUCUGGAGUGGAACAUUUGGCACUGUCUCCCAGAUGACUUCAGCGAGUGAAGUCACAAAGGAGGAGUGCCCUAGGGGAAUGAGACCCUGGCCUGAGGCACUUGGACUUGGAAUCCUGGAAGGCUGACCAGUAGGCUGGAGCAGACAAGAUGAGCAGAAAGUGGCCUCGUGUCUUGCUGGGACCUGAGAUUCUCACAAAUAUCUUGAAGUGACCAGAGCCCUCCUGGAGUGUCACAGCCUAGGCUGCUGUCACUGGGGCUUCACAGA
rnacentral:lncRNA from 1 species